UCAAGUCCAGGGGUAUGACCAAACCAAUAUCAAGAUGCUGCCUUUGAAGGUCUGUCUCCUGGGAGCACUCUUGGCAUCAGUUCUUCCAAAUGGGGCAGCAGCUUACCUUCCUGUUUCCAGCAAAGUCAGUCACCCUGUGAAGAGCAGCUCCAUCCAUCUUACCUGGAGCCAACCAGCCUUCUGCCCAAUGUCCAGAAUAGAACCCAGGG
rnacentral:lncRNA from 1 species